GUGAGGAAUAUUGCGCAAUGGAGGCAACUCUGACGCAGCCAUGCCGCGUGCAGGAAGAAGGCGCUACGCGUUGUAAACUGCUUUUAACCGGGAAGAAACCCCAGGACGUGUCCUGGGUUGACGGUACCGGAGGAAUAAGCACCGGCUAACUUCGUGCCAGCAGCCGCGGUAAUACGAAGGGUACAAGCGUUAUCCGGAUUCAUUGGGUUUAAAGGGUGCGUAGGCGGAGCGUUAAGUCAGUGGUGAAAUCCUGCAGCUUAACUGUAGACUUGCCAUUGAUACUGGCGCUCUUGAGUGUGCUUGAAGUGGGCGGAAUGUGCCGUGUAGCGGUGAAAUGCUUAGAUAUGGCACAGAACACCAAUUGCGAAGGCAGCUCACUAAGGCGAUACUGACGCUGAGGCACGAAAGCGUGGGGAUCGAACAGGAUUAGAUACCCCGGUAGUCC
rnacentral:rRNA from 1 species